rnacentral:rRNA from 1 species
AUGGUUGGAGAUACUGCAAGAAUUCUGAUUCGGCACGGCCCUCAUGGAGACAAUGGAGAUGGUGUUCAGCGGUGCGCUCAGCCAGAGUUCGCCUUUCCUGCAAAACGUCCGACAUUUGCUGAUUCGGCAGGGCCCUCAUGGAAACAAAUUCAGGGCGCAGAGAAACUAAUGGAGCAACCAGGAGUCCAAUCAUUUGAAGGCAGAACAUUGAACAUAUCAGUGAUCGGACACUCGAGACAACUCUUAAUGAGUUCUAGCAACCGAAGACAGAAUAUUUGCGUAGGAUGCAACAAAGCUGCAUGUCAUGAGAUUAUUGAAUGCGUUGAGUAA